rnacentral:rRNA from 1 species
AGCUCUCCCUUACACCGAAAAGCCGCCCGUGCAAACCAGGCCACCCUGACGCCCAAUUGCUAGCCCAACAAAUUUUUUAAAAAUUAAAUAUACUUAACAAUUAAUAAACUAAAAAUACUAAACAAACCAUUUUUUAUCCUAAGUAAAGGCGAUAGAAAAGGACCCAAGGGAAAUAGAAAAAGUACCGCACGGGAAUGCUGAAAAAGAAAUGAAACAAAUCAAAUUAUGCCAAUAUAGCAGAGACUCUCCCUCGUUCCUUUUGCAUCCUGAUUUAACACGCAAAGCCCAAGAAAAGAGAACUAUAGUUUGAGACCCCGAAACUAAGCGAGCUGCUCCAAGACAGCCCAAUUGGGGCAAACCCGUCCCUGUGGCAAAGGGUGGGAAGAGCUUUGAGUAGAGGUGACAGACCUACCGAGCAUAGUUAUAGCUGGUUUCCUGAGAAAUGAAUAGAAGUUCAGCCCCCCGGCUUCCUUACCCAACAUAGAACAACUAACUGUUGGCUACGAAAAACCAGAGGAGUUAAUCAAAGGAGGUACAGCUCCUUUUUAAUACAAACACCUU